GGUAGUAUAGAGGACUACCAUGGUGGUAACGGGUAACGGAGAAUCAGGGUUUGAUUCCGGAGAAGGAGCCUGAGAAACGGCUACUACUUCCAAGGAAGGCAGCAGGCGCGCAAAUUACCCAAUCCCGACACGGGGAGGUAGUGACAAAAAAUAACAAUAUCGAUGUUUUUACAACUUUGAUAAUUGGAAUGAGUACAAUCUAAAACCUUUAACGAGUAUCAAUUGGAGGGCAAGUCUGGUGCCAGCAGCCGCGGUAAUUCCAGCUCCAAUAGCAUAUAUUAAAGUUGUUGCAGUUAAAAAGUUCGUAGUUGGAUUUUGAAAUGUUAUAAAACAACCCGCUUUUAUAAGUGUGUUUUUUGUUGUUUUAUAUCUUUCUCCUUACUAGACUUUCACUAUUGUUCUUCAUUGAUCGAUAGUUUCAUCUCUUUUUUGAGGUGAGUGAUGGUUAGACCUCUUGGGUUUAGGAUUGUGGAUGAUUGCUUCGGCUGUUGUUCUGCUUAGAUUCAAGAACUAAUCAUUAGAAAUCUAGUUCUUUUACUUUGAGUAAAUUAGAGUGUUCAAGGCAAGCAAAUUAUUAUUGUUGCAAUGAAUACUAUUAGCAUGGGAUAAUGGAACAGGACACGUAUUCUAGUUUUCUGUUGGUUUCUAGAAUUUUUUGGCUUUUUCGGAGGUCAGUAGUGUAAUGAUUAAAAGGGACAGUUGGGGGCAUUCGUAUUUCAUUGUCAGAGGUGAAAUUCUUGGAUUUAUGAAAGACGAACUUCUGCGAAAGCAUUUGUCAAAGAUGUUUUCAUUAAUCAAGAACGAAAGUUAGGGGAUCGAAGACGAUCAGAUACCGUCGUAGUCUUAACCAUAAACUAUGCCGACCAGGGAUUGGAAGAUGUAUUAUCUAGUGUAACAGCUAGAAAACUCCUUCAGUACCUUACGAGAAAUCAUAAGUCUUUGGGUUCUGGGGGGAGUAUGGUCGCAAGGCUGAAACUUAAAGGAAUUGACGGAAGGGCACCACCAGGAGUGGAGCCUGCGGCUUAAUUUGACUCAACACGGGAAAACUUACCAGGUCCAGACACAGUUAGGAUUGACAGAUUGAGAGCUCUUUCUUGAUUCUGUGGGUGGUGGUGCAUGGCCGUUCUUAGUUGGUGGAGUGAUUUGUCUGGUUAAUUCCGAUAACGAACGAGACCUCAGCCUACUAAUUAGUUAUGAAAAUGAUUACAUUCUUUAUGAAGGGGGUUUCUGUUAUAGCUUUGGGUUUGACUUGGAGAUAUAAUAGAAAAACUCGUUUUCAUUUGUUAGAGAUUUGAUGCCUUCUGGUUGACGAUUUCGAUAAUGACUUCUUAGAGGGACACUUGGUGUUUAACCAAGGGAAGUUUGAGGCAAUAACAGGUCUGUGA
rnacentral:rRNA from 1 species